rnacentral:snRNA from 1 species
AUAUUCACUUCAGUAGCACAUAUACUAAAACUAGAAUGAUACAGAGAAGAUUAGCAUGGCCCCCGCACAAGGAUGUAUGCAAAUUUGUGAAGCAUUUCAUAUUUCU